GUCACCGUCAAGCCAGUCUCCCUGUCUGAUUGCUACUGUCACCACUUAUAAAGACAAACAGAGGCAGACUGGGCAGGAGACAGCAAUGCUGUGAAGUAAGGGCUCAGUUGCAAUUCUCCAGCAGCAGCACUGUGCUGUGCAUAAGUCAGCUCCCUCUUACCGACAAGAAGAGACUUCUCCCCACGGCUGGACGGCGAGCUACAAAAAAGAGCUACAAAAAUUGAAGCAGCUCAUAGGCUCACGGAGCUGACUGCACGCAACCAGGAGGAGGUCCCUUGAUGCUCUCAGUAAAGUCUCUUCCAGGUCAGUGGCGACAGAAAUGAAAAGACCGAGAGCAGUAAGUGAACUGACUCAGCUGAUCACCUCUGAAAACGAGC